GGUAGUCCACGCCGUAAACGAUGUCGACUUGGAGGUUGUGCCCUUGAGGCGUGGCUUCCGGAGCUAACGCGUUAAGUCGACCGCCUGGGGAGUACGGCCGCAAGGUUAAAACUCAAAUGAAUUGACGGGGGCCCGCACAAGCGGUGGAGCAUGUGGUUUAAUUCGAUGCAACGCGAAGAACCUUACCUACUCUUGACAUCCAGAGAACUUAGCAGAGAUGCUUUGGUGCCUUCGGGAACUCUGAGACAGGUGCUGCAUGGCUGUCGUCAGCUCGUGUUGUGAAAUGUUGGGUUAAGUCCCGCAACGAGCGCGACCCUUAUCCUUUGUUGCCAGCGGUUAGGCCGGGAACUCAAAGGAGACUGCCAGUGAUAAACUGGAGGAAGGUGGGGAUGACGUCAAGUCAUCAUGGCCCUUACGAGUAGGGCUACACACGUGCUACAAUGGCGCAUACAAAGAGAAGCGACCUCGCGAGAGCAAGCGGACCUCAUAAAGUGCGUCGUAGUCCGGAUUGGAGUCUGCAACUCGACUCCAUGAAGUCGGAAUCGCUAGUAAUCGUAGAUCAGAAUGCUACGGUGAAUACGUUCCCGGGCCUUGUACACACCGCCCGUCACACCAUGGGAGUGGGUUGCAAAAGAAGUAGGUAGCUUAACCUUCGGGAGGGCGCUUACCACUUUGUGAUUCAUGACUGGGGUGAAGUCGUAACAAGGUAACCGUAGGGGAACCUGC
rnacentral:rRNA from 1 species